UUCUUGACUAAGCGUUUGGUCUUCUGAAAAAAAUAAAGAUCAGACACUUCUUUUGGCAUAUUCUCACAACAAAGAGAGACAAACAAUGCUUUGAAACAAUAAUCAAAUCCCUGACUGCAAAGUGCAAAGUGUGUUUAGGUGAUUUUAAGUGAUUGUAGGUUUUUAUUGCCCAACUCAUGACAUUUAUUUAAAUUUAAAAUGUCAUAAUGCUAAAGUUGUCCUGAAGAAAGUUGUUCAAGAGAGAAUUUACUUCCUCUCUAUUAGAAGGUGUCAAUGAUGAGACUAUCAUAGGCGGUUUAAACUUCUGCGCCGCCCGUAGUUUAGCCUACGCAGAGCCUAGCGCGUAGCUGAUGUGCACCUCCCCAGAAGCGUAAAAACAUGUACGAAAUUUUGCGAAAGUUUCAGUUACCAUUGUUGAAACUGAAGCAGAAAGUAAAAACACAUAUUGACCCAACUGGCAAAAAA